rnacentral:rRNA from 1 species
CAGAGGCCCCAAGCGUUACUGAGAAUCACUGGGUUUAAAGGGUGCGUAGGUGGCGCGUUAAGUCCGUUGUGAAAUCCCUUGGCUCAACCAAGGAAUGGCUUCGGAUACUGGCGUGCUUGAGGCUGGUAUGGGUCACUGGAACUGACGGUGGAGCGGUGAAAUGCGUAGAUAUCGUCAGGAACGCCAAUGGUGGAGACAGGUGACUGGGCCAGUUCUGACACUGAGGCACGAAAGCGUGGGGAGCGAACGGGAUUAGAUACCCCGGUAGUCCACGCCCUAAACGAUGCAGACUAGACUGCAGCGGGUUACACCCCGUUGCGGUCGGAGCGAAAUUGUUAAGUCUGCCACCUGGGAAGUACGGUCGCAAGGCUA